UACGUAGGUGGCAAGCGUUGUUCGGAUUUACUGGGCGUAAAGCGCACGUAGGCGGAUCGUUAAGUCGGGGGUGAAAUCCUGGAGCUCAACUCCAGAACUGCCUUCGAUACUGGCGAUCUUGAGUCCGGAAGAGGUGAGUGGAACUCCUAGUGUAGAGGUGGAAUUCGUAGAUAUUAGGAAGAACACCAGUGGCGAAGGCGGCUCACUGGUCCGGUACUGACGCUGAGGUGCGAAAGCGUGGGGAGCAAACAGG
rnacentral:rRNA from 1 species